AAGGCCUGAUGUGUGUGAGAUUACCCGCUGAAUUUAAGCAUAUAAGUAAGCGGAGGAAAAGAAACUAACUAGGAUUCCCUUAGUAAUGGCGAAUGAACAGGGAUCAGCUCAGUGCCAAAUCGGAAUCACUUGUGGUUCUGAAAUGUGGCUUGAAGGCAGUACCAGUGGCAUCGCGGACGAAAGUCUCUUGGAAAAGAGCGUCAUAGAGGGUGAGAAUCCCGUGAGUCGUUCGCCGUUUGUCACGUACGGUCUGCGUUCUAACGAGUCGCGUUCCUUGGGAUUGGAGCGUAAACGGGUGGUAAAUUUCAUCCAAAGCAAAAUAUAUACUCGAGACCGAUAGCACAAAAGUACCGUGAGGA
rnacentral:ncRNA from 1 species